rnacentral:rRNA from 1 species
AUUGAACGCUGGCGGCAUGCCUUACACAUGCAAGUCGAACGGCAGCACGGGUGCUUGCACCUGGUGGCGAGUGGCGAACGGGUGAGUAAUACAUCGGAACAUGUCCUGUAGUGGGGGAUAGCCCGGCGAAAGCCGGAUUAAUACCGCAUACGAUCCACGGAUGAAAGCGGGGGACCUUCGGGCCUCGCGCUAUAGGGUUGGCCGAUGGCUGAUUAGCUAGUUGGUGGGGUAAAGGCCUACCAAGGCGACGAUCAGUAGCUGGUCUGAGAGGACGACCAGCCACACUGGGACUGAGACACGGCCCAGACUCCUACGGGAGGCAGCAGUGGGGAAUUUUGGACAAUGGGCGAAAGCCUGAUCCAGCAAUGCCGCGUGUGUGAAGAAGGCCUUCGGGCUGUAAAGCACUUUUGUCCGGAAAGAAAUCCUUGACUCUAAUACAGUCGGGGGAUGACGGUACCGGAAGAAUAAGCACCGGCUAACUACGUG